UCUGAGAUUCCUGGAGGCAGGAUCGCCAUUUUGAACUGCGGUAGAGAGAGCUUCAUUCAAAAAGAGUUUCCCAGCACUAUUCUGGGACCCGUACAACACAAUGAAACAAACGAGAUGACAACCAAAAGCUUAACUGUCGACCCUGGAUGAGCCAUGGAUCCUCCUUUACCACCUCAUGUCCUCACUAAUAAUCAGGCUCUUCCAGGUCACCGGUGGUAACGUUCCCGGGCCCCUGAACACUCCAACCAAUGCAUCCUAGGCUACGCUGAUGUCACCUAGUGUGGUGAUCCCGGAGCACGAAUCGCGCGCACAAGAGGCUCGCUUCAGGGCAGAGGACGAAAGGAGGGCAGAGGGUGUGGUUGCGUGUGCAAGGACCUAGGCGGGCCCAGCGCGCCCUUCCGGAGUCCGCCGGCCCACCCGCCCGGCCGGGCCCCGCACC